CUGCCUCAGGCGCCCAAGUAGCUGGGACUACAGGCGCCCGUCACCACGCCCGGCUAAUUUUUUGUAUUUUUAGUAGAGACGGGGUUUCACGGUGUUAGCCAGGAUGGUCUGGAUCUCCUGACCUCGUGAUCCGCCUCGGCCUCCCAAACUGCUGGGAUUACAGGCGUGAGCCACCACCCCCGGCCGCAGAAAUAUUUUAAUGCCAUUUUAGAAGGUGACUCAGAAGGUUGCUGGUUUUGAGAAGGCUCUACAGCAGGUGCAGGCUGUGGUCCAAGAGGUUGCCCAGCCAUUUGCUCUUCAAGCUUGCCAAGACAACUUUAGAAAAUACUAUGAAAAAUCUUCUAUGAAGGCAGCAGAAAGGAGAAGUGGAAGGCCAAAAUGAGUGGAGAGAACAAACUAACAUAAGAAAGCUUAAAGCAGGAGAAAGACUGUAUCUGAGGAGCUAUAAAAGAGACAUCAUACCAGACUCUACUCCAGAAUGGAAAUGUCCAAUGCCUAAUCAGAAGCCAGGGAGUAGGGUGAAUGCGAUAGAUAAGAGAUCAUCAUCCCAACCUGCAGCCCUCAUUACUGCUCGUUCUAUGGAGUAGUCAUUUUUUGUUUUUGUUGUUUCUUUACUUCUCUAAGAAACUUGCUUUUGCUUAAAAAAAAAUAAAAAUAAAGGAGAUAAGAGAACAUCCAAUAAAAGAAGGCAAAUGUUGUGUGCAUAGAGAUUACUAGGUUAAGGAAAGCAGGCCAACUAGCAUUAAACCAACCCAUACCUUUGUUCAACACUUAGAAUGAAAUCUAAAUUUAUUUCUCUGGCGUUGAAUAAGCCUAUGACAUCAACCUGAACUACUCUUCUGCUCACAGCAUUCCAGACACAUUGACUAUUUCAUGCAUCUUUGUCCUUAUUGCUAUACCUGGAAUUCUA
rnacentral:lncRNA from 10 species